AUGAGCGCGAAAAUAAGCGACGAGUGCAGUAUACAGCUGCGCGCGCGCGCGCGUGCAAAUAGCACGAGAAUUGUCACCGCGAUAAGUGCGCCGCGUAAGCUACGACGCACGAGCCAGCUUGGCGUACAUAGGUGAGAUCGAUGGAAAGGGAAAUGAGUGUACAGGGAUUGUUUUGUUUAUUUAUUAAGGAGGUGUUGGAUGCCACGUGUUCUCUUCGUUCUUGCGGAUAGAGCGGCGUUUAUACUUGGUCUUGUCUUCGUCGAUCUGUAAAACACCAGAUAUGCAAAAAACUAAGUAUCUCAAGAUCAAGGGCCUGUUAAAGUUCAAGUUGUCUACAAACUAAGUCUUAUCCUUGUUAUAGUCAUGCGAUGUUGAAAAAAAUUGAACUAUUCGACCAUCUUUUUUAGACGAGAUUCGUCAACUGUUACUAAAUGCUGUCCUAUUAAAUGUUGAUCGAAUCAAUUUCUUUGAAAGGAUUUCUUGCCGGUGGAAGAAUAAAAAAAAGUGAGAUUCGUAAAUUUUAUGAAAUUGAAUAUUACCUGUAAUACUUACAUAUACGUAUGCAUAAAUAAAGAUACACACUCUUUUUCCAUAUUAUUAA